UUCCGCUUCGUCUAAUGGUAGGACAUCUGCUUCUGACGCAGAAGAUGUAAGUUCGAUUCUUUCAGCGGGAACCA
rnacentral:tRNA from 3 species